rnacentral:rRNA from 1 species
AACGCACCUUGCGCUCCUUGGUAUUCCGAGGAGCAUGCCUGUUUGAGUGUCAUGAAUACCCUCCACCGCCUGGGCUUUUGUCUCGGCGGCUGGGACGUGGGGGAUUAGUGCUGGCCUUCGCGGGUCGGCUCCCCUGGAAUGCAUUAGCUUGGACCUUUGCGGACCAGCUUUUCGGUGUGAUAAUUGUCUACGCCGUGGGCUGUGAUGCUGUUUAACAUGCUUCGGCGUGUUGGGGUUCUGCUUCUAAUGGUCCCUUUGGUGGGACAACUUACUUUGACCUCUGACCUCAAAUCAGGUAGGAUUACCCGCUGAACUUAA